rnacentral:rRNA from 1 species
CCUACGGGUGGCAGCAGUGAGGAAUAUUGGUCAAUGGGCGCUAGCCUGAACCAGCCAAGUAGCGUGAAGGAUGAAUGCCCUAUGGGGUGUAAACUUCUUUUAUAUGGAAAUAAAGUGCAGUAUGUAUACUGCUUUGCAUGUACCUUAUGAAUAAGGAUCGGAUAACUCCGUGCCAGCAGCCGCGGUAAUACGGAGGAUCCGAGCGUUAUCCGGAUUUAUUGGGUUUAAAGGGAGCGUAGGUGGGUUUUUAAGUCAGUGUGUAACGUUUGCGGCUUAACCGUAAAAUUGCAGUUGAUACUGGCAUCCUUGAGUACAGUAGAGGUAGGCGGAAGUCGUGGUGUAGCGGUGAAAUGCUUAGAUAUCACGAAGAACUCCGAUUGCGAAGGCAGCCUGCUGGACUGUAACUGACGCUGAUGCUCGAAAGUGUGGGUAUCAAACAGGAUUAGAUACCCCGGUAGUC